rnacentral:lncRNA from 1 species
ACAGAUAUUCCAAAAAAGGAGAUAUAAACAUGACCAUAAAAGACAUGAAAAGAUGUUUAACCCCGUUAGUCAUCAUGGAAAUGCAAAUGAAAACCACCAUACAGACACUAGAGUGGUUUAAAUUUGAAUGACUUCCAACACCAAAUGCCAGACAGGACAUAGAGCAACUGGAUGUCUCAUGCUCACAGGCAGAAGGGAAAACUACUGUGUGUGACAGGAAGAUGGACUUACCCAACCUUCAGCGUUCUCAAUCUCUUGUCUAUUAACAUGUGUUUGAAACAUUAUGCAUUCAAAGCAAACAUCUGGGAGGAAGAUGGGAGAAGCCUUCUUGCCCCUGUUCUACAGAAGUAAUUGAAGUUCAUGACAUUCAAGCUCAUUCAUCAGUAAAUGAAUUUGGGUCAUGCUUU